GGUAAUGUAACUCAGUGGUAGAGCACUUACCUAGCAUGCAUGAGACCCUGAGUUUGAUCCCCAGCACUGCCA
rnacentral:tRNA from 1 species